rnacentral:snRNA from 1 species
AUACUUACCUGGCAGGGGAGAAACCAUGGUCAUGCAGGUAAUUUUCCCAGGGUGAGGCUUAUCCAUCGCACUCGGGAUGUGCUGACUCCUGUGAUUUCCCCAAAUGUGAGAAACUCAACUGCAUAAUUUUUGGUAGUGGGGGACUGCAUUUGUGUCUCCCCA